UUUGACGUUAAUACUUGGCCGGUGUACCUCUGCACCGAAGUGCCGGUUGCGCCCGGAUAAGCGAUUCAUGGUUCAUAUCUUGUAGCACAAGUAAAUGCAUUACAAAACGGGGUUUGUGGAGGGCAGCCGAGGGCCGCCAUAACUAUGAAUUAGUUCCGCGGGACGCAAAAUUCAAGACCGGGAUUUUACCCCCGGACUCUCCUUUCGUUUUGUUGCCACUGACCGAGGCCAAUGGACUUUUUGAGGUGUGGUAAUGAUCCUUCCGCAGGUUCACCUACGGAAA
rnacentral:misc_RNA from 1 species